CUUCCCCCUGACCUGUCCUCGUAGGUGCAGCCCGGCGGGGGCGGGGCAGGAGAUGCGUACCCCACCUGUCCUCGCAGGUGCAGCCCAGCGGGGGCGGGUCGGGGGAUGCUUCCCCCUGACCUGCCCUCGUAGGUGCAGGCGCGAAAGGGGCGGGGAAAAGGGAUGCUUCUGCGAGGUGCCCCGAAGAAGUAGCCGGUCACCUCGCCGGCAGGCUGGGCGUGCAGCGAGGCCCCGGCAUCCUCCUGCUGAAUCAACACAGUCUGAGCCACGGGGGACGUCAGCCUCCAACAGAGGAAGAACUCUUACAAGGCCACAGUCGUCGUGUCUGAACACACGAACGUGAGCGUAGCACAAGCCACAGAAAUGACCAGACCUCGCUCCGCCCUGCCCAAUACAAGUGACUGCUGCUUCUGGACCUGUUACAGAGUGAGCUUUGUCUGGGCCCCCUCCUGCCUUUUAGAGAAGAUUGAGUGAGGCAUUCCCGCUGGGCAUUACCCCCUCGUCCUGACACCCAAUCCACAUCAAAGCCCCCCUUCCUUACCUGCCCCCCAAAACUACUUGCCACAAACCCCUGUCUCCUAAGUGCUUUCCAACAUCCCCCUACCUCGGUGUCCGGGGGCAAUGGUCUCCCUCGCUGCCGUCGUAAGAAACCCAGCUUGUUUCCACUGCAGACCUGUUUCUGGUGGGGUCUGGCUUUGGGACUGUGUAGGGCCCAGCAAGCCCCGCACCUCUCUUCCCCUCUGUGACCCCUCACUCACGGUGUUUGAGACGUCGGUGCUCUCUCUGCCUCCUCCUCCCUCACAGCAGAAAUACUCUGACAGUGCUCACAGGCUCUCCUGUCCUUGCCUUUGGUGCACAGAGCAGCCCACCCCAACCCAGCGUGACCUGACGACUUCUCCAGAGGAGCUCUCCCUAAGGCCUCCAGUGACUUCCCACUAAUGCCAAAUGGAGCUGACCUUUCUAGUCAUCAUCUUCUGUGAAUCCCACCAGUGGACGCCGGUGGCCUCUUUCUCUUCGGCUUGUGAGACAUCCCUCUCCUGGUUUUCUUCCUGUUCUCUGGCUGCGCCAUCUCUGCCUCCUCCGUGGGCCCAAAGUCCUCUGCCUGGCUACUCGUGAAUGGAAUUCCUUCACACUAGAUCCUGAGUCCUCUCCUCACGCUGUACUCCCUCCCUGGGCAAUCUCCUCCACACUUGGCUUGAAUUACGGUUCACCUGAACAUGGUUCGUUAAUCUAUACUUCCUACCAGCUCAAGAUCAUGAGUCAGAUAAGUACCCACGUGACAUCUCUUGGACGUCCCAAAAGUGCCUCAGAUUCAACGUGUCCCCCUUGGAACCAUUCUCUCCAUGCACCACCCCUACCCCUUUCAAUCUGAUCUGCUUCUUGGGUUGACACAGCCCUGGGCUCCUAACCCUACAACACCUCUAUAGGAGACAGCGUCUGAGUGGCCUCAUGAUCUCCAUCUCCUAGGGUUCAACCGUUGUGUGGUCCCCUUCCCUUGAGUGUGACCAAAGCCCAUGACUUGCUCAGGCCAACAGAGGCCAGCAAAGGAUUGUGACACCCAUUCUGCUCGGGGACCCUCCUUCCCUUGCUGGCUCUGAAGAAGCAAGCUGCCAUGCUGUGCACUGCAGUAUGGAGAGGAACGCGGUAACUGAAAGAACUGAAUGUGGCUUCCAGGUGACAACCAGCCAGAAACUGAGGCCUUCAAUCCAAGAGCCCUCAAGGAAAUGAAUGUCGCUAACAGCUGUCUGAGCUUGGAAGCAGAUCCUUCCUAGUUGAGCCUCAGAUGAGAGCCCAGCCCUGGCCAGCACCUGACUGCAGUCUCGCAGAGGACCCCAUUGUGCCCAGACUCCUGACCCACAGAAACUGGGAUACUAGAUGGAUGUGGCUCUAAGCUGCUAAGUUUGUAGUAAUUUGUUAGAGAGCACUAGAUGCCUAAUACAAUCUCCAUCACCAAG